CAACCUUUUGCUAAAAACUACAAAACUAAAGAGCAACAGCCAAAUUGUAUUACGACUUUUGCGUCUACCUUGGGAAAUCCCUUUCUAUUUGUAUUUCGCGCUUCGUGUCACGUGAUUCAGACACAAACAAACAAAAUGGCGGAGGCUUCGUAAUCUACAAUGAGCGAACCAGCCAAAACAGAGGGAGAGAUAAACGCGUGAGACAGCCAUCUAAAAGAAUGUUGUUGUAUUCUCAGGACACAGAUUCAGAUUCAAGUCUACAGAAGAGCUAAGGAAAACGUCCUGCCAGAAAGAUCCAGAAAGUUGAUACAUUAGCAACAAUAACUAAGGGGACACUGGAACGCCAUAGCACGUCUGACGAUGAGAUGACUCUAUCGGUGCUGGAUAGGAUGACCCUCUACAGUCAGCAGCAGUAUUGACAAGAUGUGUUUUCCUUUUAUGCAGAGACACUAGAAGAUGUCAAUAAAUCUUUCAGACAUGCUGCAUACAGACAAUUUACCAUCUUAAUGCAUGGGAAACCGACUGCUGGAGACAGAAUAACUGUCCCAGCAUGUUGUGUUAAAUUAAUAAGGGAGAAGUUUCCUAGUCCUUGUGGCCAGUAUACAGGCUUCGUACCAGGUGAAGGCCCAGUGUUCUAAUAAUUUUGCAUAUUUAUGCCCCCCUUCGAAGAAGAAGGGGUAUAUAGUUUUGCACAUGUCGGUCCGUCCACCAGAUGGUUUCGGGAUGAUAACUUAAGAACGCUUAGGCCUAGGAUCAUGAAACUUCAUAGGUACAUUGAUCAUGACUCGCAGAUGACCCCCAUUGAUUUUAAGGUCACUAGGUCAAAGGUCAAGGUGACUCGACACAGUAAAAUAGUUUCCGGAUGAUAACUCAAGAAAGCUUACGCCUAGGAUCAUGAAACUUCAUAGGUUCAUUGAUAACGACUCGCAGAUGACCCCUAUUGAUUUUCAGGUCACUAGGUCAAAGGUCACAGUGACAAAAAACGUAUCACACAAUGGCUGCCACUACAACUGACAGCCCAUAUGGGGGGCAUGCAUGUUUUACAAACAGCCCUUGUUUAUUUUUAUUUUGAGUCAUUUUGUUUCACACUUGAUAUUUUGUUAGAUUAGGUUUCUUAAAAUACAUUUCAAACAUGACAUAUGCUAAUGCAUGAAUUAACAUUUUGAAAUCAAUAAAAAAGCAACAAGUUUUAAAUUAAA